rnacentral:lncRNA from 1 species
UAGACUCAUUUAAAAAAAAAUGUUAACGUAUUUUAGACAUCUUCUAUACAUUAGCCUAGCGUUUUUCAAAAUCGGAGUUGGCAACACUGACGCCGAAGUGAUUUGUCAACGCGUCUUGUGUUAAUUUUUUUGCGGUUAUCUAUCACAUCACAGAUCUAACAACUUACAAGUUCAAUGGAGUAAGUGAUCGAAUCUUUAAAAACAUGGGAGUUGGAGAACUUAAUACGAAAAUUCACCACCCCGGAAUCGGACGCUAAUAAAACCAUGUUCCGAUGGUAAUAGGCGACGCCCAGCGUGCCCGGGUGUUGAAAUAAGUGCAAAACUGCUCUCCGCUCGCCUUUUGUCCACCAACGGGUUCACGCCGCGUCGCCUAAUCCUCGCGCCGGUCGCCAGCAUUCCCCGCUGUGUUCCGGUAACCUACAGGCGGCAAGCUGACGCUGCCGUCAUCCACACGACACCAUCUCUGAGGCGGCUGACGUGGCAGUCGUGGUGGUCUGAGGCGGCUGACGUAGCACGUUUGAGACCCUGAUGGAUUUUUCUGAGUUUAACAUAAGCACAGACCUAAUAGUUAUAGAAACUUCAGAAAAGGAAAACUUGUCCUCGGAAAAGGAAAAUGUGCCAUCUGCAAUUGCUGAGAAGAAAGCAGAGCCCAGUUAUAAUUCCAGGAUUGUGGAAAAGUCAUUGGACUCUGCAUCACUAUUUUGAAAAUAUUCUGCUCUCAAAAAACCACAAGGAUAUUCUUUGCGGCUUAACGACUUCAAAAGCACAUGAAAUUUACUAGGACAAUUUGUUUAUAAAUUUUCCAUCAAUGAAAAUAAAUCUUCAGGAACAGCUGAAAUACAAAAAGUCGAACUUACUGCACUUACCAAUUCGCCCUAUGAGGAAACAACGAAUAUAGCCGGAUUUCUCACCAUUCCAUUUUUGCUGAACACUGCGGCAGUCCGCCAAAAGAAGAAGCGAGGUUCCGGUGCAAGUCAAAAUUGGAAGCCCAGUAAAAUGGAAGUAAGGGAAGGUUUCAUAAAGCAUAUCCGCUCUAGUGUAGAAAUUAGCCAGACCAUCGAACUUCGCAUAGCCACACUUCAAAAAAUAGGAUUGUCAUGCCAGCCAUACAUAAUUGUUGUGGGUGAGUCUCUUGAAAAAAUCGAAUCAUUUCUAGUUGUUGUCAGCAGAUCGAUAAUCUAUGAAAGACAGUCCAUUAUGAACGCAGUAGAUACGUGCUACAAAAUAUAUAAUACAAUGAAAAUAUAAUACAUUGUACUUACUGGUGAACUCUGGUAUUAAGACGAUACAGGAGUGAUCUAUUCUCCAUACAAACGCUCUCGACUAUUUCCUCCCUGGUUUUUCAAGAUACAGCAAUGAUUUUUGCAAGACAGAUUAUAAUAAUUUUUAUCUGUGUCGGACCGUUUUGAUUUUUUUAGAUUCUUAUUUUUAAAGACGCUAGAGCCCAUCGAAAAUUUUCAAAAACGGUGUUAUUGAUUAUGGCGUAAAAAAGGUGUGGUAUUCAAAAUUGGUAACAAUUAGCCACAAAAACUGAACGGUCCGACACUGAUUAUUUCAUUGUUAUUCAGAUUCUCAAAUUUAGUUACGAUUGACUUAAUUUUGAAGGGGGAAACAGUCGAGAGCGGAACCUCGAUUUUAAAGAUUUUUUUCGCAAUAUUUUUUAACUGAGUUCUUAAUGGACAUUUUUUUCGAUAAAUCUAGUUAAUAACACUUGUAUAUUAAAUUUGAAUUCCCAAAUUGAAAGGGGGCUCCUUUCCAUUUUAGCAUUUUCGCUCCUGUAGCGUCUUAAGUUCUCCAACUCCCAUGUUUUUAAAAUUUCGAUUUCUUCCUCCAUUGAACUUGUAAGUUGUUAGGUUAGCUGUGAUGUGAUAACCGCCGCAAGAAAAAAACUAUUUAUUCUAAGUAGGUAGUAGUAGUAGGUGCCAAGUAUAUUAUGAAUAAAUGUCAUUUUUUUAUAA